rnacentral:rRNA from 1 species
GGAGGCUAACGCAGGGAACUGAAACAUCUAAGUACCUUUUGAAAAAGAAAUCAACCGAGAGACCGUAAAUAGUGGCGAGCGAAAGCGGUUUAGGCUUAAAACAUGACCGUCUUUUUUUGAAUACCAAUGCCGUAGAGGGUAAUAGCCCCGUAAAAAAAAGAAAUCAAUGUUUUUUUAGUAUUACAUUAUCAAGCAAUCUUGUGUGAAAAAUGGGGUACCAUCCUCAAAGCCUAAAAAAUAUUUAACAACCGAUAGUGAACAAGUACCGUGAGGGAAAGGUGAAAA